AUUGAACGCUGGCGGCAUGCCUUACACAUGCAAGUCGAACGGUAACAGGUUAAGCUGACGAGUGGCGAACGGGUGAGUAAUAUAUCGGAACGUGCCCAGUCGUGGGGGAUAACGUAGCGAAAGCUACGCUAAUACCGCAUACGAUCUACGGAUGAAAGCGGGGGAUCGCAAGACCUCGCGCGAUUGGAGCGGCCGAUAUCAGAUUAGGUUGUUGGUGAGGUAAAAGCUCACCAAGCCUGCGAUCUGUAGCUGGUCUGAGAGGACGACCAGCCACACUGGAACUGAGACACGGUCCAGACUCCUACGGGAGGCAGCAGUGGGGAAUUUUGGACAAUGGACGCAAGUCUGAUCCAGCAAUGCCGCGUGCAGGACGAAGGCCUUCGGGUUGUAAACUGCUUUUGUACGGAACGAAACGGUGAGCUCUAAUAUAGUUUGCUAAUGACGGUACCGUAAGAAUAAGCACCGGCUAACUACGUGCCAGCAGCCGCAGUAAAAC
rnacentral:rRNA from 1 species